UAAAGUCUAACCUGCCCACUGAAAAUUUUAAAUGGCCGCAGUAUUCUAACUGUGCAAAGGUAGCAUAAUCAUUAGUCUUUUAAUUGAAGGCUGGAAUGAAUGGUUGGACGAAAUAUUAACUGUUUCAUUUAAAUUUUUUAUAGAAUUUUAUUUUUUAGUCAAAAAGCUAAAAUAAAUUUAAAAGACGAGAAGACCCUAUAAAUCUUUAUAUUUUGUUUAUUUUAAUUAUAAAGAUUAUUUUUAUUAUAAUAAAUUAAAAUAUUUUAUUGGGGUGAUAUUAAAAUUUAAAAAACUUUUAAUUUUUAAAACCAUUAAUUUAUGAAUUAUUGAUCCAUUAAUAAUGAUUAAAAAUUUAAGUUACUUUAGGGAUAACAGCGUAAUUUUUUUGGAGAGUUCAUAUCGAUAAAAAAGAUUGCGACCUCGAUGUUGGAUUAAGAUAUAAUUUUGGGUGUAGCCGUUCAAAUUUUAAGUCUGUUCGACUUUUAAAUUCUUACAUGAUCUGAGUUCAAACCGGCGUAAGCCAGGUUGGUUUCUAUCUUUAAAAAAUUAAAAUAUUUUAGUACGAAAGGACCAAAUAUUUAAAUAAUUAUAUUUUUAAUAAGAAUAUUAUUAAUUUAA
rnacentral:rRNA from 1 species